rnacentral:tRNA from 1 species
GUGAGGGUGGUUCAAUGGUAGAAUUCUUACCUUUCAUGCAGGAGACCCGGGUCAAUUCCCAGCCAAUAUA